rnacentral:lncRNA from 1 species
UUUGUAUUGGCUAAGAAUUGUUCAAAAGAAAAAUCAUUCAGUUUUUUUCUUCAACAUUCUUGUCCUACUGAGGGAAUAAUUCGUUAAUUCACCUUUCACUGGAUCCAAAUGGAAUUCAUUUUUUAGACUUUAUAGAAAACAUACAAACCCUCCACUAGUUCAAUAUUUUAUGAUUAAUUUUUAUAAACAAGUAGGCGAUAUCAGGACAUCUUCAGAGAUGAAUAUAAUUGAAUCCGAGUGCUCUCAUGCUGACUAUUAAAGGUUUCAAUUUAAAAUGUUUGCAAGAGACCAGGGAUAGGACGAAUCUCCAGCAUUGCCUCACAGUGCCAGUGUCCUGGGCUUCUAGAAGCAGCAAUGGUAUCUGUGGUUGGCUGAGUUUUCUGGGCCAUCAGCGUGAUUUCUAAGCCGGACUCUGGUGCUCAUCAUGCUCCCACAAGCCUCAGAUGGCUUUUAUUUCACAGCAGACAACAAACCCAUCUUUCUGUCAAAGGCCGUAGGUUGAGGUCCGGAAAUGAAUUUUUAAACUAUGUCUUCAGGCCACUAAAUUCCAAGGCCAUUUCUCUUUCUCUCUAUUCCUAAGGACCCAUCACCACAGACCCCA